rnacentral:rRNA from 1 species
AGAGUUUGAUCAUGGCUCAGAUUGAACGCUGGCGGCAGGCUUAACACAUGCAAGUCGAGCGGGGGAGGUUGCUUCGGUAAUCGACCUAGCGGCGGACGGGUGAGUAAUACUUAGGAAUCUGCCUAUUAAUGGGGGACAACAUCUCGAAAGGGAUGCUAAUACCGCAUACGCCCUACGGGGGAAAGCAGGGGAUCACUUGUGACCUUGCGUUAAUAGAUGAGCCUAAGUCGGAUUAGCUAGUUGGUGGGGUAAAGGCCUACCAAGGCGACGAUCUGUAGCGGGUCCGAGAGGAUGAUCCGCCACACUGGGACUGAGACACGGCCCAGACUCCUACGGGAGGCAGCAGUGGGGAAUAUUGGACAAUGGGGGGAACCCUGAUCCAGCCAUGCCGCGUGUGUGAAGAAGGCCUUAUGGUUGUGAAGCACUUUAAGCGAGGAGGAGGCUCUUUUGGUUAAUACCCAAGAUGAGUGGACGUUACUCGCAGAAUAAGCACCGGCUAACUCUGUGCCAGCAGCCGCGGUAAUACAGAGGGUGCGAGCGUUAAUCGGAUUUACUGGGCGUAAAGCGUGCGUAGGCGG